UACACUCCUGCGGGAGGCAGCAGUGGGGAAUAUUGGACAAUGGGCGCAAGCCUGAUCCAGCCAUGCCGCGUGAGUGAUGAAGGCCCUAGGGUUGUAAAGCUCUUUCACCGGAGAAGAUAAUGACGGUAUCCGGAGAAGAAGCCCCGGCUAACUUCGUGCCAGCAGCCGCGGUAAUACGAAGGGGGCUAGCGUUGUUCGGAAUUACUGGGCGUAAAGCGCACGUAGGCGGAUCGAUCAGUCAGGGGUGAAAUCCCAGGGCUCAACCCUGGAACUGCCUUUGAUACUGUCGAUCUGGAGUAUGGAAGAGGUGAGUGGAAUUCCGAGUGUAGAGGUGAAAUUCGUAGAUAUUCGGAGGAACACCAGUGGCGAAGGCGGCUCACUGGUCCAUUACUGACGCUGAGGUGCGAAAGCGUGGGGAGCAAACAGGAUGAGAAACCCCAGUAGUCCCAUGA
rnacentral:rRNA from 1 species